UUAAAUUAAAAUAAAUAAAAUUAAUUUUUUUAUAAAUAAUUAAAAUUGUAAAAUAAAAUUAAAAUAAUAAGUAAAAUUUAAAUUUAUUGUACCUUUUGUAUCAGGGUUAAUUAAAUUUUUUUUUUUAGAAAAUUUUCUCGAAAAAAAAAUAUUUAAAUUAAUUUAAGUUUAAUGUUGUAAAUUUAAAAUUAAAAUUAUUUUAGUUUUGAUAUGAAUUUCGAUUUUUUAUAUCUAGUUAAUUAAAAAAUUAAUUUAAUUAUAUAAUUUUUUUUAAAAAAAUAUAAAAAAAUUAUUAAUUUUUUAGGGAUAAGCUUGAAAAAAAAUAAAAAGAAUUUUUAUUUUUUUAUUUUAUAAAUUUAGAAAUAAUUAUUAUUUUAAUAUUUAAGAAUUAAAUAAAUUUAUUUAAUUUAAUAAAAUUUUCUUUUAUUUUUUUAAUUUAAAUAAAAAAAUUUAUUUUUUAUAUAAAAAAUGAUUAAAUUAAUAGAUUUUAAAAUUAUAAAUUAAGAAUUAGGCAAAUUAAAUUUUCGCCUGUUUAACAAAAACAUGUCUGAAAGAAUAAAUAUUUUUAGUUUAAUUCUGCUCUAUGCAUUUUGUGAAUAGCUGCAGUAUUAUGACUGUACAAAGGUAGCAUAAUAAUUAGUUUUUUAAUUGGAAACUUGUAUGAAUGAUUGGAUGUAAAAUUAACUUUUUUAUUUAUAUUUUAAUUGAAUUUUUUUUUUAAGUAAAAAAUCUUAAAUAUAAAAAAGGGACGAUAAGACCCUAUAGAAUUUAAUAAAUUUAAUGAAAAAAAUUUAUUUUAUUGGGGUAAUAAAAAAUAAAUUUUUUUUUUUUUUCAUUUAUAAAUGAUUUUUUGAUCUUAAUUUUUAGAUAGUAAGAUUAAAUUACCUUAGGGAUAACAGCAUAAUUUUUAUUAAAAGAUCUUAUUUUAAAAAAAGAUUAUGACCUCGAUGUUGAAUUAAGAUAUUAUUUAGGAGUAAAAAUUUAAAUAAUAAGUCUGUUCGACUUUAAAAUUUUACAUGAUUUGAGUUCAAACCGGUGUGAACCAGGUUGGUUUCUAUCUUUUUUUAGUUUAUUUAUUUUAGUACGAAAGGAUUUUUUGAAUAAAUUUUUAUUUAAUUUGAUUGAAUGAAAU
rnacentral:rRNA from 1 species